rnacentral:rRNA from 1 species
AGUGCGAAAUGCGAUACUUGGUGACUUGGGGUAACUGCAAAAAACCUGAGAGGGGAGAGACCCGCGAACACGUUGCAACACUCGAGGGGGGUGAGGGGUGCGAACACGCCCCGGACCCUCCUCGCCGGGUGCUUGUGGCCCCGUACGUCGUCCCCGGAACCAUACGAACUCCGGCGCGGUAUGCGUCAAGGAAAGACAACGAGACGAUCCACGCCAUCGAGGCCCCGGGAACGGUGACUCUGCCUCGGUGGUCGCUUCGGGAUCGGGUUUUAGUAUGAAGAACGACUCUUGGCAACGGAUAUCUCGGCUCUCGCAUCGAUGAAGAAUGUAAAUUACAGAAUCCCCUUAACCCUCGAAGUCUUUGUCGCAAGUUGAGCCCGAAGCCAUCAGGUCGAGGGCACGACUGCCUAGGCGUCACACGUCGUUGCCCCCCUGAUCUUCUGUCCCGCUCCUAGCCGGUGGGAGUGGGUACUGUGUGGGGUGGGCGGAUGAUAACCUCCCGUGCGUGCUUUUCCUGUGUUUGGUCGCAUUUUCUAGUCCCCUGUCACGUCGUCUUGACAACAUGUAUUCGAUCCUUCGGUCCUGGCAACCCGCCGUCGCAAAUGCAUCUGGCCUCCGACAGACCCCAAUGCGCCCGUCACGGGUUUCUCCACCUUGACCUCGGGUCAGGUGAUUU